GAGAGUAUAGCUCAGUGGUAGAGUGUGUGCUUAGCAUGCAUGGGGUCCUGGGCUCAAUCCCCAGCACCUCCA
rnacentral:tRNA from 1 species